GGCCGCGUGGCUUAAUGGCAUAGCGCUUGACUACGAUCAUAACAUAGUGUGUAAUCAAGAGAUUCUGGGUUCGAUCCCCAGCGUGGUCA
rnacentral:tRNA from 1 species